rnacentral:rRNA from 1 species
ACCCUUUAACGUUUGAUGUUCUAACCCGGGUCCGUAAUCCGGAUCGGGGACCGUGUCUGGUGGGUAGUUUGACUGGGGCGGUCUCCUCCCAAAGAGUAACGGAGGAGCACGAAGGUUGGCUAAGCAUGGUCGGACAUCAUGCGGUUAGUGCAAAGGCAUAAGCCAGCUUGACUGCGAGAGUGACGGCUCGAGCAGGUACGAAAGUAGGUCUUAGUGAUCCGGUGGUUCUGAAUGGAAGGGCCAUCGCUCAACGGAUAAAAGGUACUCCGGGGAUAACAGGCUGAUACCGCCCAAGAGUUCAUAUCGACGGCGGUGUUUGGCACCUCGAUGUCGGCUCAUCACAUCCUGGGGCUGAAGUAGGUCCCAAGGGUAUGGCUGUUCGCCAUUUAAAGUGGUACGCGAGCUGGGUUUAGAACGUCGUGAGACAGUUCGGUCCCUAUCUGCCGUGGGCGCUGGAAGAUUGAGAGGGGUUGCUCCUAGUACGAGAGGACCGGAGUGAACGCACCACUGGUGUACGGGUUGUGAUGCCAAUUGCAUUGCCCGGUAGCUAAGUGCGGAAGAGAUAACCGCUGAAAGCAUCUAAGCGGGAAACUUGCCUCGAGAUGAGUCUUCCCUGAUUCCCAGAGAAUCCUGAAGGAACGUUUGAGACUAAGACGUUGAUAGGCUGGGUGUGUAAGCGCAGCGAUGCGUUGAGCUGACCAGUACUAAUGAACCGAGAGGCUUAACCUGACAACACCGAAGG